GUCUUUUUGAGUUAUAUUUAAAGUCUAACCUGCCCACUGAAAAUUUUUGAAUGGCCGCAGUAAUUUGACUGUGCAAAGGUAGCAUAAUCAUUAGUUUUUUAAUUAAAAGCUUGUAUGAAAGGUUGAACGAAGUAAAAUCUGUCUCUAUUUAAUUAAAUUUAGAAUUUAAUUUUUAAGUUAAAAAGCUUAAAUAUUUGUAAAAGACGAGAAGACCCUAUAGAGCUUUAUAAUUUAUUAAAUAUAAUUAUUUAAGAUUAUUUUAAGUUUUAUUAUAUAAAUUAUUUUAUUGGGGUAAUAUAAAGAUUUAAAUAAUUCUUUUUUUUUAUUAACACUAAUUUGUGAUAUAAUGAUCCAUUUUUAUUGAUUAAAAGAUUAAGUUACCUUAGGGAUAACAGCGUAAUUUUUUUAAAGAGUUCAUAUCGAUAAAAAAGUUUGCGACCUCGAUGUUGGAUUAAAGAUUAGUUUAGGUGUAGAAGUUUAAAUUUUUGGUCUGUUCGACCAUUAAAUCUUUACAUGAUCUGAGUUCAGACCGGUGUAAGCCAGGUCGGUUUCUAUCUUUAUUAAAUUUAAAUAUUUCAGUACGAAAGGACCAAAUAUUUAAUAUAUUUAUAUUUUAUUUUUUGAAUAUUAAU
rnacentral:rRNA from 1 species